AUGAAUAUCCUUGCCUGGAACUAUCGAGGACUGGGGUUGGACUCGACAGUUGGUGAGCUUCAUGACCUGGUUAGGUCUUACAACCCAACAGUGGUUUUCUUAAGUGAAACUAAGAAGAGGGCCAAUAUAUUGAAUAAGCUCAAUUGGAGUCUAGGUUUCCGGGAGGGGGUGGCUGUCCAUUGUGUUGGCAAGAGUGGUGGCUUGUCAUUAUGGCGGAGAGACAAUGUGAAGGUAGCUGUGAGGCCUUGGUGCCAAUAUUUUAUUGAUGUGGCAGUUGAGUUUGAGGGCAAAGCUUUUAGGAUCACCGGAUUCUAUGGCGAGCCUAGGACAGACUUAAGGGAUAAAUCUUGGGAAGCUCUUCGGUAUUUGCCGAGGCAAGAUAAUCAACCAUGGAUCUAUGUAGGGGAUUACAACAAGGCACUUCUUCAGACUGGACAAUUUUGUGGGAAGGGAAUAAGUUCUUCUCAGAUGGAGGAGUUCAGAGAAUGCCUAGCCGACUGCAGUUUGGCUGAUCUUGGGUUCCAUGGCUACCCGUACACCUAG
rnacentral:rRNA from 1 species